UCUGGGCAGUUUUUCUAUAUGUUUGCUGAUAUAAGUACUGAAUACUCAUUUCAUAUUAAAUGUCGUGAUAGGUAGAACGUAUUAAAAGAUUUAAUCGGAUCAGAAUUAAUUGUUUUAUUCCCAGCCAAUCGUGCGAUAAGUCGCAAAAAAUUAAAGAUGAAAGUCAGAUGUGCAGUUUUCAGCACAAUGGUUCUUUUGGCCUUGAUCACCAUUGCCACCGCCGAUUUCAGCUCCUUCCGUAUGCAAAGGUCACCGUUGUUAUUUAACGGAAAUCCGGGAUGGCAAAGAGAUGCUGUGAAUGCCAACCGCCUGCGGCGUGCGGCUAUCAUACCCCAGAAAUAUCCCAAUAAGCCGCCGUGCUAUUAUCAGUGGUAUUAUCCCGAUGUGUACUGCGGCCCCCAUUACAAUAAUUGACCUACGGGUUAACCCGGAGUCAGUUCAAUGAAAAACUGUAUCAGUUUUUUUAAUUUUUAUGUAACACAAUAAAUUUUUGUAUAAGCGUUGGAAACUCAGUACUGUCUGGUACAGAAAAGAUUGUUGCACAUGCAGCGUUAAAGAGUACUGCAAAAAUAUUGUUCCCAAAAAUGAUCUGUUGAUGACUCUUCCUGUAAUACAGAAAGGAAAUUAACUGUUGAGUAUUGAGCAUUUCAAUUUAAUCUCUACCCUAUGUAUACGGUACAUGUUUAUAGCACUAUGUUUACCCGAAAUAACUGAGGGCUGUUUAAUUG